UACGUAGGGUGCAAGCGUUAAUCGGAAUUACUGGGCGUAAAGCGUGCGCAGGCGGCUUUGCAAGACAGAUGUGAAAUCCCCGGGCUUAACCUGGGAACUGCAUUUGUGACUGCAUGGCUGGAGUGCGGCAGAGGGGGAUGGAAUUCCGCGUGUAGCAGUGAAAUGCGUAGAUAUGCGGAGGAACACCGAUGGCGAAGGCAAUCCCCUGGGCCUGCACUGACGCUCAUGCACGAAAGCGUGGGGAGCAUACAGG
rnacentral:rRNA from 1 species